GACGAACGCUGGCGGCGUGCCUAAUACAUGCAAGUCGAACGAGAAUCAACGGAUUGAGGAUUCGUCCAAAUGAAGUUGAGGAAAGUGGCGGACGGGUGAGUAACGCGUGAGGAACCUGCCCUAGACAGGGGGAUAACUGCUGGAAACGGCAGCUAAGACCGCAUAGGUAUGGACACUGCAUGGUGACCAUAUUAAAAGUGCCAAGGCACUGGUAGAGGAUGGACUUAUGGCGCAUUAGCUGGUUGGUGAGGUAGCGGCCCACCAAGGCAACGAUCGGUAGCCGGACUGAGAGGUUGAACGGCCACAUUGGGACUGAGACACGGCCCAG
rnacentral:rRNA from 1 species